GGUUUUUGUUAGUGGAUGUAUCACUGUGUGAAUUCAGCAUCCAACUGGAAAGUCACCUUUGGAAGUGGGACACAACUGGUGGUAAAACCAGAUGUUACUCCAUCUCCUUCAGUCUACAGGCUGACCUCUAAAGAUUAUAAGGAUUUGGAAAUGUGUCUUAUCACAGAUUACUCCCCUGAAAACAUUACUCUUCCCUGGCAUGAUAAGCAGACAAAUGUUGUAGUAGAGGUGGCAACACCAGAGAACAAACAGGAAGCGAGCUACCUGUCCACCUACUGGGCCAAGAAAGAUGUAAUGCGGUGUGGUGCAAAUCACGAGGGCUUUGGAAAACUGGAGGGCGAGGAUCCUGAAAAAGGUGCCAGUGCUGUCUGUGUUACAGGGGUGUCUCUACACUUCAGGACAGAUGAAAACCUGAACAUGCUGUCUUUAUCACAGCUGGGCCUGAAAAUAAUUUUAAUGAAAGGAAUAAUUUUUAAUGUGCUGAUGACGAUGCUUAUGUGGAAAAAAAAGAAUGAAAGUAACCAGAUGGUGCCGUCCUGAAGUGCCAAGAAAUCUUUUGAGGAAUCUUUACCAGAGCAUCGUGUGCAAGAAGGAACACAGACAUUCCUGCUGCAAGGGAUAUUACUUGCUGUUUCUAUGUAUCUCACU